UACGUAGGGUGCAAGCGUUGUCCGGAAUUAUUGGGCGUAAAGAGCUCGUAGGCGGUCUGUCGCGUCUGCUGUGAAAACUCAGGGCUUAACCCUGAGCUUGCAGUGGGUACGGGCAGACUAGAGUGCGGUAGGGGAGACUGGAAUUCCUGGUGUAGCGGUGAAAUGCGCAGAUAUCAGGAGGAACACCGGUGGCGAAGGCGGAUCUCUGGGCCUGUCCUGACGCUGAGGCGCGAAAGCCAGGGGAGCGAACGGG
rnacentral:rRNA from 1 species